rnacentral:rRNA from 1 species
UACAGAGGGUGCAAGCGUUAAUCGGAAUUACUGGGCGUAAAGCGUGCGUAGACGGUUAUGUAAGUCAGAUGUGAAAGCCCCGGGCUUAACCUGGGAAUGGCAUUUGAGACUGCAUAGCUAGGGUGCGGAAGAGGGAAGCGGAAUUUCCGGUGUAGCGGUGAAAUGCGUAGAUAUCGGAAGGAACACCAGUGGCGAAAGCGGCUCACUGGACCACAACUGACGCUGAGGCGCGAAAGCUAGGGGAGCAAACAGG